UACGUAGGGGGCAAGCGUUGUCCGGAUUUAUUGGGCGUAAAGAGCGUGUAGGCGGCCAUGUAGGUCCGUUGUGAAAACUCGAGGCUCAACCUCGAGACGUCGGUGGAAACCGUAUAGCUAGAGUCCGGAAGAGGAGAGUGGAAUUCCUGGUGUAGCGGUGAAAUGCGCAGAUAUCAGGAAGAACACCCGUGGCGAAGGCGGCUCUCUGGGACGGUACUGACGCUGAGACGCGAAAGCGUGGGGAGCGAACAGG
rnacentral:rRNA from 1 species